rnacentral:rRNA from 1 species
CCUACGGGGGGCUGCAGUGGGGAAUAUUGGACAAUGGGGGCAACCCUGAUCCAGCCAUGCCGCGUGUGUGAAGAAGGCCUUCGGGUUGUAAAGCACUUUAAGCGGGGAGGAAGGCCUUGAGACUAAUACUCUUGAGGAUUGACGUUACCCGCAGAAUAAGCACCGGCUAACUCUGUGCCAGCAGCCGCGGUAAUACAGAGGGUGCAAGCGGGGAUCAGAAUGACCGGGGGUAAAGCGUUCAGAGGGAGGUGAAAUCCCCGGGCUCAACCUGGGCACGGCAUCCGAUACUGGCUGACUAGAGUGUGGGAGAGGAAGGUAGAAUUCCAGGUGUAGCGGUGAAAUGCGUAGAGAUCUGGAGGAAUACCGAUGGCGAAGGCAGCAUUCUGGCCUAACACUGACGCUGAGGUGCGAAAGCAUGGGGAGCAAACAGGAUUAGAUACCCCGGUAGUC